AUUGAACGCUGGCGGCAUGCCUUACACAUGCAAGUCGAACGGCAGCACGGGAGCUUGCUCCUGGUGGCGAGUGGCGAACGGGUGAGUAAUAUAUCGGAACGUAUCCAAUAAUGGGGGAUAACUAAGCGAAAGCUUGGCUAAUACCGCAUACGAUCUAUGGAUGAAAGCGGGGGACCGUAAGGCCUUGCGCGGACGGAGCG
rnacentral:rRNA from 1 species